GCCCUCUUAGCUCAGAGGCAGAGCGUUGCUCUCGUAAAGCAAAGGUCGUCAGUUCAAUUCUGGCAGCGGGCA
rnacentral:tRNA from 4 species